UCCAGACUCCUACGGGAGGCAGCAGUGAGGAAUAUUGGUCAAUGGUCGGGAGACUGAACCAGUCAAGCCGCGUGAGGGAGGAAGGUACAGAGUAUCGUAAACCUCUUUUGUCAGGGAACAAAGACUGGGACGCGUCCCCGGAUGAGUGUACCUGAAGAAAAAGCAUCGGCUAACUCCGUGCCAGCAGCCGCGGUAAUACGGAGGAUGCGAGCGUUAUCCGGAUUUAUUGGGUUUAAAGGGUGCGCAGGCGGUCUGUUAAGUCAGCUGUGAAAGUCCGCGGCUCAACCGUGGAAUUGCAGUUGAAACUGGAGGCCUUGAGUGCACACAGGGAUGCCGGAAUUCAUGGUGUAGCGGUGAAAUGCUUAGAUAUCAUGAAGAACUCCGAUCGCGAAGGCAAGUGUCCGGGGUGCAACUGACGCUGAGGCUCGAAAGUGCGGGUAUCAAACAGGAUUAGAUACCCGCGUACAU
rnacentral:rRNA from 1 species